CCUUGUGUCGUUUCCAUCCCGCGUUCUGCCCGCUGCGGUCUGCCUUCACAUUUCUCCGCUCCGCCGUUACGUCCCUCCCAAUUUCUCUACUCCCUCGCAUCUCCUCCGCCAUCGGGACGACCUCGCGCACCCAUGCUGACCUUGAUUGCCGACGCCAGCCCCUCCGUCACCAACCUCGCGCAGCCCUCGAUCGCCGAGUCCAACGCCAGCCCCUCCGCCGCGGACCUCGAUCGCCGAUGCCGACGCCGACGCCAGCCCCUCCGCCGGAGAGAUCGCCGACCUCGCGCACCCCUCGAUUCCCGACGCCGACGCCAACCCCUCUUCUCUCCACACGGACUUGGGGCCGACCGCCGCCAGACCGCCUGUGAGCCUGCCUCCGCACGGGCUUGGGGCCAACCGCCCGUGCGCCUGCCUCCUGCCCCUCCGCCGUCUUCCUGCUGCGAUUUCCAUCCUCAAGACCCCGUGGCGGAAAAUCGUUGCCGUCCUCGCCGUCAUCUGUACUCAGUUUGCGCUUCUCUAUUUCUUGUGCUCGCUACCUGUUUGUUGAAUCGCUGCUGAAGCCCAAACACGCUUCUCUACGCCCCGCCGCCCCAAAUCCUUCACCCGAUCCGGUCUACAACGACGCGGAGGAAAGCCCAAACGCGCUUAACCCCCCGCCGCCCCAAAUCCUUCACCCGAUCUGGUCCACACUGACACCGAAGAAAGAUACUCCAUGUUCUUUCAUCCUUCAAUCAUGUUGUUUCGUCCCUCGCCAAUGGAUACUCCUCUGAGAGCUGGCUCAAAGGUGGACAUCUUUCGGGUGCGGCGGAACCUUGAGCAGCGAUGGUCUUGCCUCUCGAUGGUUUUGCUUGCUGUGUUUUGGCUGUGUUCUUGCUCUGAUCCGGUUGAUUUUGGGAAGCAGAGCAGUUGGGUGAUUCCUUGCUAGCAGUAGAAGCAGUUCACUGACAGCAGGACCCUCGCCAAUAGAGAGCUGAGAAGAGCUGAAGAGUUGAAUAGCACAAAAAGCUGACGGGCUGUUGACUCUUGCAGUGUUCUUGCAAGAUUAUGUACCCGUGCGUUGCAAGAAGAGCUGCAGAUUUUGUUCACGUUUGGUCGAGCAGAGAUGGCAUCUUUGAAACGAGACGGGGUCGUGCUCCAUUCAAAGACCUAAUCAACACCAUGAACACAAGUAAUGUUGAUCAACUAUACUAUCUAAACUAUGGUCCCGUCUCAUACUCUGUAACUAAAUACAUGUUGUACCUUUUUAGAUGGGCAAAACAAUAGCAAUAUUUGUGGAUCCAUGACAUCCAUUGCACAACCACCACUCCUAGAUCCUAGAGAACAUAAGAGGCAAAGGGAGAGGGACCGGUAUGCGCAACAGAAAGAUGAAAUACUAAAAAAACGUUGUGAGGCCCGUCAACAAAAGAAAGCUGCAUCAACCCUUGUAAAUGUUGAACACUAUCAAUCAAAUCUCUUCCGAACGAUCAAAUAGGAUCAGGGCAGUCCGCGCUCCCCGAACUAGGAUACAUGCCAAGUGCAAAAGGCAUUCCCAAUGUUAGCGUUGAGUCAACAAUUUCAAAGCGACCCACAUCAUGCAACAAGGAAAGUACGCCUCCUGACGAGAGUACUAAUUGGCCACGGAGAAAUGAUACGUACCAUAGGCAAGGAGUUCCUAUACCAUAUCAAAGCCAAGAAAGCAUCAUGACAAGUACUCAGGCAGUAAAUUUUACUAUUCAACGGCCAGCAAAAGAAGCUGGCCUGAAGGCAGCAAAAACUGCUGCUUUUUUCAGCAGAAACUGCUGUUUUAUUUCAGUAUAAGUUGCUAAGAUAUUUCAGCACAAAAUGUAGUUGUGGUGCAGCAGAAAAUGCAGUUAAAACUGCACGAAUUCCCAUUGAUUAACAUGGAUAAUACAAGAAUAUUCAUUCAAAGUACAUCCUUUUUAGCCAGGUUCCUCCAAUGUCCGUUUAGCUGGUACAGUCGCGAAGGCGAGGAGGCAUAUAACAGAGCAAAGCAACUCAUGAUGGAAGAUAAGCCGAAGGACUUUAUCCCAAUUGAAUUAUUCACUUUUCAGAUGUGUCAAUUGAAUUACAAGACACACUAUUCGCCCAGAAAGCCCUAUAAUUUGAUAUGCUUAAAAAUCCAUAUCCAGACUCCUAAGUAUAUCAGCUAUACAGUUCAUAUACUGCUGAGAUCAGAGAGAAAUCCUGCUGAUAUUCAAGCUACAUGUUGAUACUUGACCAACUGUAUUCAAACUUGGUUCUUAUGAAAUGAAAUUUGUGAAACUGAGAUUUCAAAUUACUAAAACUAUUCAUAUCAGUUUCCAACCUACCAUUUGAAAGCAACAUGUAAAUACUUUACCUCCCUUAACGAGCCUCAACCCGCCAACCCAAAGCAACAAAAUAAAGAGGAAAAGAGGAAGGAAAAAACCGCAUCAAAUUUCUUUUAUGAAAAUGCCGGAAAGUUAUUGUUUAGUUAAACAGAGAAUUCAUUGUUAAAGUAACCAUAAUUUUAGUAUAUAUGAGGUGUAACUUACGAAAUUGAUAUUUCAAAUUACUAAAAAAAUUCAUAUUAGUUUCGAACUUUCCAUCUCAACUCAACAUAUAGGUAGUUUGCCUCGCUUAAUGGGUCUAUAACCCACCAACUCGACGCAGCAAAAGAAAAAACAAAAAAGAAACAAAUUGUACUAUUAAGUGUCUAUAAACAAAAAAGAAACAACAAAGAAAAAACAAAUUGUGUCUAUAAAAAACACAAAAUAUUAAGUGCUUCUCACCUUGCCAUCGGUCUGGUGUCGCACUUCGCGGUUAGCAAUGCAUCGAACUAUCAAACAGUGUUAGGGGUAUUUGAAAUCAAAUGCAAGCUGCAAAGGUAGACCAAUGCAAGGGCUUUUUUG